UACGUAGGGCGCAAGCGUUGUCCGGAAUUAUUGGGCGUAAAGAGCUCGUAGGCGGCUUGUCACGUCGGUUGUGAAAGCCCGGGGCUUAACCCCGGGUCUGCAUUCGAUACGGGCAGGCUAGAGUGUGGUAGGGGAGAUCGGAAUUCCUGGUGUAGCGGUGAAAUGCGCAGAUAUCAGGAGGAACACCGGUGGCGAAGGCGGAUCUCUGGGCCAUUACUGACGCUGAGGAGCGAAAGCGUGGGGAGCGAACAGG
rnacentral:rRNA from 1 species